UCAAUAAAUGGGACUCUGACUAG
rnacentral:piRNA from 1 species